GACGAACGCUGGCGGCGUGCUUAACACAUGCAAGUCGAACGGAAAGGCCCUGCUUUUGUGGGGUGCUCGAGUGGCGAACGGGUGAGUAACACGUGAGUAACCUGCCCUUGACUUUGGGAUAACUUCAGGAAACUGGGGCUAAUACCGGAUAGGAGCUCCUGCUGCAUGGUGGGGGUUGGAAAGUUUCGGCGGUUGGGGAUGGACUCGCGGCUUAUCAGCUUGUUGGUGGGGUAGUGGCUUACCAAGGCUUUGACGGGUAGCCGGCCUGAGAGGGUGACCGGGAAAAUUGGGACUGAGAUACGGACCAGACGGCUACGGGAGGCAGCAGUGGGGAAUAUUGCACAAUGGGCGGAAGCCUGAUGCAGCAACGCCGCGUGCGGGAUGACGGCCUUCGGGUUGUAAACCGCUUUCGCCUGUGACGAAGCGUGAGUGACGGUAAUGGGUAAAGAAGCACCGGCUAACUACGUG
rnacentral:rRNA from 1 species